UACGUAGGGAGCAAGCGUUGUUCGGAUUUACUGGGCGUAAAGGGCGCGUAGGCGGCGCGGUAAGUCACUUGUGAAAUCUCUGAGCUUAACUCAGAACGGCCAAGUGAUACUGCAGUGCUAGAGUGCAGAAAGGGCAAUCGGAAUUCUUGGUGUAGCGGUGAAAUGCGUAGAUAUCAAGAGGAACACCUGAGGCGAAGGCGGGUUGCUAGGCUGACACUGACGCUGAGGCGCGAAGGCCAGGGGAGCAAACGGG
rnacentral:rRNA from 1 species